rnacentral:rRNA from 1 species
UACGAAGGGGGCUAGCGUUGUUCGGAAUUACUGGGCGUAAAGCGUACGUAGGCGGACAUUUAAGUCAGGGGUGAAAUCCCAGAGCUCAACUCUGGAACUGCCUUUGAUACUGGGUGUCUUGAGUAUGGAAGAGGUGAGUGGAAUUCCGAGUGUAGAGGUGAAAUUCGUAGAUAUUCGGAGGAACACCAGUGGCGAAGGCGGCUCACUGGUCCAUUACUGACGCUGAGGUGCGAAAGCGUGGGGAGCAAACAGG